rnacentral:rRNA from 1 species
AACGAACGCUGGCGGCAGGCCUAACACAUGCAAGUCGAGCGCCCUUUCGGGGGAGCGGCGGUCGGGUGAGUAACGCGUGGGAAUAUGCCCUUCUCUACGGAAUAGCCUCGGGAAACUGAGAGUAAUACCGUAUACGCCCUGUGGGGGAAAGAUUUAUCGGGGAAGGAUUAGCCCGCGUUGGAUUAGUUAGUUGGUGGGGUAAUGGCCUACCAACCCUACGAUCCAUAUCUGGUUUUAUAGGAUGAUCAGCCACACUGGGACUGAGACACGGCCCAGACUCAUACGGGAGGCAGCAGUGGGGAAUUUUAGACAAGGGGGGCAACCCUAAUCUAGCCAUGACGGGUGAGUGAUGAAGGCCUUAGGGUUGUAAAGCUCUUUCAGCUGGGAAGAUAAUGACGGUACCAGCAGAAGAAGCCCCGGCUAACUCCGUG